CACUGGUCUAAGAUUAGCCAUGCAUGUGUAAGUGUAAAUAUUCUAUACGGGAACUGUGAAUGGGGCUUUAUAUCUCUUAUAUCUUAUUUGUGAUAGUGCCCUACUUGGAGGCCGUCUGUGUCUAUGGCUAAUACAUGAGAAAGUCCUCCUCCCGACCUCUGGAAUGGGAGUGAAAACCAUAUGCUAAAUCAUGAUAUUGAGACUGAUUAACCAAUCAUAUCGCAUGCUUAAUGCACCGGGGAUUGUUUCGAGUAUCUGCCCUAUCAAUUUCCGAUGGAACAAUUUGGGACUACCAUGGAAAGGACUGCCAUCGAAUAAUUUGGGAACGAUUUAUAAGAGGGAGACUGAGAAAAGGGUACCUCAUCCACGGAAAGCACCUCGAGCGAAAGUUACCCGAUCCUGACUCACCGAGGCAUGGACCAUGAAUGACGAUGCGGGACUAUACGACUUGCGAUUCGAUUGAGACCUAUGAACGACUCUAAUACAUAAGCCAUUGGAGGGCGAGGAUGGUGCCAGCAGCCGCGGUAAUUCCAGCUCCAAUAGCAAAUAUUAACCCUGUUGCAGUAAAAAAGCUCAUUGC
rnacentral:rRNA from 1 species